UUCCAUAUAAAUGUUUGGAUUGUUUGUUCUAGUUCUGUGAAAAAUGUCAUGGGUAAUUUGAUAGGGAUUGCAUUGAAUCUGUAGAUUGCUUUGGGUAGUAUGGCCAUUUUCACAAUAUUGAUUUUUCCAAUCCAGGAACAUGGAAUAUCUUUCCAUUUCUUUACAUCUUCUUUGAUUUCUUUGAUUAAAGUUUUAUAGUUCUCGGCAUAUAGGUCCUUUACCUCUUUGGUCAGGUGUAUUCCGAGGUAUUUGAUUUUGUGAGGUACAAUUUUAAAAGGUAUCAUAUUUUUGUAUUCCUUUUCUACUAUUUCAUUGCUGGUAUACAGAAAUGCAACUGACUUCUGAAUGUUAAUCCUAUAUCCUGCUACUUUGCUGAAUUUAUUAAUCAGUUCAAGCAGUUUUGGGGGUAGAGUCCUUACUUUUUUCUAUGUAUAGCAUCAUGUCAUCUGCAUACAGUGACAGUUUUACCUCUUCUCUUCCUAUAUGGAUGCCCUUUUAUUUCUUUUGUUUGUCUAAUUGCUGUGGCUAGGACUUCCAAAACGAUGUUGAAGAGCAGUGGUGAGAUGGGCAUCCCUGUCUUGUUCCAGAUUUGAGUGAGAAGGCUUUCAGUUUUUCCCCAUUGAGGAUUAUAUUUGCUGUGGGUUUAUCAUAAAUGGCUUUGAUUAUAUUCAGGAAUGUUCCCUCUAUACCCACUUUGGCGAGGGUCUUGAUCAUGAAUGGAUGUUGAACUUUGUCAAAUGCUUUUUCUGCGUCUAUUGAGAUGAUCAUAUGAUUUUUGACUUUUUUUUUGUUAAUGUGGUGUAUGAUGCUGAUUGAUUUGCGUAUGUUGAACCAUCCUUGUGAACCUGGGAUGAACCCAACCUGGUCAUGGUGUAUAAUUUUUUUGAUAUGUUGUUGGAUUCGGUUGGCUAAGAUUUUGUUGAGAAUUUUUGCAUCUAUAUUCAUCAAUGAUAUUGGGCGAUAGUUUUCUUUUUUGGUGGUAUCUCUGUCUGGUUUUGGAAUGAGGGUGAUGGUGGCCUCAUAGAAUGUCUUUGGGAGUAUUCCUUCUUCUUCAACCUUUUGAAAGAGUUUAAGGAGGAUGGGCACCAAUUCCUCUUUAUAUGUUUGAUAGAAUUCACCUGUGAAGCCAUCUGGUCCUGGACUUUUAUUUGUAGGGAGUGAUUUUAUGACCUCUUCAAUUUCAUUUCUAGUGAUCGGUCUGUUCAGUUGGUCUGUUUCUGCUUGAUUCAGUUUUGGCAGGCUGUAAGAUUCUAGAAAAUUGUCCAUUUCUUCCAGAUUGUCAAACUUGUUGCCAUAUAGUUGUUCAUAGUAU
rnacentral:lncRNA from 1 species